AGGAUUCUAGACCUUAUGAAGGCUAACCCGUGUGAGCCUGAUGAGUGGUCUUACACUGAAUUGAACUAUGGUUUUUGCAAGAAAAGCAAAAUGGAAUCGGCUUCUCGAUUGUCCAGUGAAUUGGUGGAUCAUGGGUUAUGCCCAAAUGUAGUUACCUACACUACACUGAUAAGCGGAUGCUGCCACGUCUUUGGCCCUUAAUGUUGAACAGGAUGGUUGAACAUAGAUGUUACCUAAUUUGCAUACUUACAGUUCUCUUAUCCAACCUAUGGGUCAAGAAGGCAAGAUAGAGGAAGCUGAGGAAUUGUUUUCAGAUUUAGUGAGGCAAGGGCUUACUCCAGAUGAAGUUACUUUUAUCAAGUAACUUCAUCUUGAUAUAUCCAAACCAGGAGAAGUGGGAGAUGCAUUGCUAUUGAAUUCAGCAGAAGUGGGAGAUGGUUUGCACUUUGCACAGAUGAGCAAGCAUGGUUGGUCAGGGUUUAUAUCCAAACCAGGAGGCAUAUAAUUAUUUUAUUAUGUCACUAUUGAGAACUCUGUAAGUUGACCUGGCUAUGAGCGUAUUCAGGUAUAUGUCUGCUCAAUGUCAUGAACUCCAUCUUGUUUGGUUAUAGAGCACUAGUAUGGUCUUUAUGCCAAUUCCGCAGAAGGAAAGGAGCCCAAUUUAUUUUUCAUCACAUGCUAUUGAGGACUUCAAAUCCUAACAAUAUUGCAUGGGCUGUUCUCAUUGAUGGACUGCUUUGGGGGGCUGGUACAAAGAUGUGUGCAUGGAAUUUCUCCGCAUCAUGGAAAAAAAUCAAAAGCCUAGAAGUAUUGAAAGAGUAGCUAGAAUGACUUGGCUCAUGGAAAACUUGUUGGCAUAUUGUUCUGCGAUGACUUGGCUCAUGGAAAACUUGUGGCAUACAGCGAGAAUAUAAAUCCGGAACAUGUUUAGCCCCACAACCAACAACAGUGUCCAGGGUGCUUGAAGCUGUUGUGAUUCCAUUGUUCCAUAUCUUGGUACUAGGACUGGUAACACCUCUCUGCGGGAGGCUUUGGACCACCAUAAUCUUCCAGAUGUGACCAAUUGACCUGCUUCUGUUUGGUAUUCCUCAGGGCUAUGUAUUUCCAUGGCUUACAUGUUGCGUUUCCAGUAAGAUCAAGGAAUGCUUAUGUGCAGCAAGGUUCAUACCCAAUUAAUCUGUUUUACACGUCAAAUAUUCCCAUUACUGACCUCUAUUCACAUCUUGGCUUCUCUACAGGAAUUGCAGUGAAAUUUUCCUGGUUAACCUUUUGGGUAGAUGAAUGAAUAGAGUAAUCUGGCCAUUCUGAUCCUGUUGAUUGUCUUUCUUAUCAAGGUGAAUGGUCAAUGUCUGUUACAUAAGUAACUAUGUGUUAUGGUCGUGCUUGUGGUUUCUUUCCUCCUUCUCAGCUCCCUGUUGUUAAUAAUACUAGCCUGAACAUGUUGGAAACCAUGCUGGUUGGCUGACAUUCUCGCACAUUCCAUUCCAUGCAAUAUUCUUCGUGGUCUCCAUGCUGUCAGUUUGUCCUCUCAAAGACAUGUAUUGAAGUUCUGGUUCAUCGGCUAAGGAUGUUUCCAAACAGUUUAAGGAAUAACAAACUGUUAUGCAAGGUCACUGUGAGUCAGAAAGUGAACAGAUACAUCAUUGCUGUUGCUCCAUUUGGUCGAGUGUGCAUCGGCUGAUUGACCAUUGCCUAGCUGAUUUGAUGGAAGCAAUUAGUUCAGAAACGGAUAUACUGCUCGCUGUUGCAGCGUAAACCGAUAUUUUGAGUCUAGAAAGAAAGGGCAACCAAGCUUGUUUUGGGCUAUUAUUGUUUCAGUUCUAGAGUUUAAGUCGGUUUGGAGCGAAACUUGUAGCAGAAUAUGCAUGUGUUUCAACACCAGGAUGGUGGUAUGCGCCAUGCCCAGUUGCAGCCAUGGCCUGUCAUUCGUCCCUGAUCGAACAACAAUCAAGAGUGAAAAAUCUAUAUUUCCACCAGAUUAUCAUGUGUGAGGUUACUGAGUUCCCAGCUGUGGUCAAGGUUGCACAAUUCGUAGUUGCUACGCACAAGAUAUGUGCUCUAUGUUCAAUUUGUGCACAGACGGCUGGUGUGCGACGCAAUGUAUAACUAGAUUUUGUUGAAACUGAACAGAAAGGGAGUCGAGAUCUUGGUCACUCUAGUUUUCCGGUGAUCGGUUGGAAAGAUAAAAUCUCAAGAGUGCUGUCACUGUUCAACCCCAAGAAAAGAAUAGAUGGGCAGAGUAUUAGUGAAGAGUGCUGACAGUGGAGGGAGCCCGGUUUGUAAAAGAUUUCUCUCCGUAGUCGGCUUCUGCCUAGUUGGGGCCAUUUAUUUACUCUCACCACCACCGUAAGCUUUUGAGGGCUCCAAGGCACAUGAGUUCCAAAGAGUGAGCAGUACAUUGAACACUGGAACUAGCCCGACUGUCCCUGCAUUGUUGUACUACCAUCGGCAUGCACUAGCCUUUUCAGUUCAGUUCUGCCUAGCUUGACUGACUGACUGCACACGAACACACGCACGGUUAAUUACGAGCGGGUGGGGAUACUCGUGAUCUGCAUUGAAAGAGUCUGUGAACUUCUGAAGUUCUGAACUUGUACCGUGGUCCUUCUGCGUCUCUGUUCAGUCCAAUAUUAAGCAUACGAUGAGGCAGGAAAAGGGAAGGGAGGAAUGAUGAACGCUGCAGCAAUGCACGCUCUCACUGAAAUCUCUCUGCCGCGCCGCCAUUGGCCGAACCACGGCGGGCGUCACGUGGCGCACUGGCGCUGCUCCUGAGACCUGCCACGUACCGCUUCAUCAGACGCCUUGUUUGUUUCGACACCGGUCAAUAUCUAGGAGGAGUAGUAGUGCUGGCGCAAGAGACACGAUAACGACGAACAGAGCUAGGCCACAUGAUUCGAGGAUUCUAUGCGCGAGAAAUAGUUACAUUAUCUACUCCCUGAUCCAUAUCAAGUGUCAUUGUUGUACUAAAUCAGCGAUCAAAUGGAGCAUAUGUUUUCA